CGUGUAGGCGGUUUAGCAAGUCGAGUGUGAAAUCCCACGGCUCAACCGUGGAACUGCGCUCGAAACUGCCUUACUUGAGUGCGGGAGAGGUGUGCGGAAUUCCUGGUGUAGCGGUGGAAUGCGUAGAUAUCAGGAAGAACACCGGUGGCGAAGGCGGCACACUGGCCCAGCACUGACGCUGAGGCGCGAAAGCGUGGGGAGCGAACG
rnacentral:rRNA from 1 species